GCGCUCAUAGCUCAAUUGGCUAGAGCACUGCCCUGUCACGGCAGGGGUUGGCGGUUCGAGUCCGCUUGGGCGCG
rnacentral:tRNA from 1 species